rnacentral:rRNA from 1 species
CCUACGGGUGGCUGCAGUCGAGAAUAUUCGGCAAUGGGCGAAAGCCUGACCGAGCGACGCCGCGUGCGGGAUGAAGGCCUUCGGGUUGUAAACCGCUGUCAGAGGGGAUGAAGUAUCGAUGGGUUCUCCCAUUGAAUUGACAGAUCCUCAGAGGAAGGGUGGGCUAAGUUCGUGCCAGCAGCCGCGGUAAGACGUACCACCCGAACGUUAUUCGGAUUCACUGGGCUUAAAGAGUCCGUAGGCGGUCUAGAAAGUUGGAUGUGAAAUACCUCGGCCUAACCGAGGAACUGCAUUCAAAACUACUAGACUCGAGAGAUAUAGAGGUGAGCGGAACUGAUGGUGGAGCGGUGAAAUGCGUUGAUAUCAUCAGGAACACCGGUGGCGAAAGCGGCUCACUGGGUAUCUUCUGACGCUGAGGGACGAAAGCUAGGGGAGCGAACGGGAUUAGAUACCCUUGUAGUC